GUAAGGUAACACGAGCAAGGAGGAGCAGGAAUCUAGGAUUUCGAUGUCAAGACUCUUUGUGCUCGAGAUUAGGUGAUCGAAUUAGCUCUUUUUCUUCACAGUUGCUCAAGUCAGGUCUCCAGUCAACGCUUUUCCAUUGGUAAUUCUUUUGAAUAUGUUAGACGUGGCAUGUCUAGAAAGUGAAAUGUUUAUUUUACUUCCAAAAAUUUUGUUAGACAUUCAUAUUUGUAAAUAGUUACGAGUUAGCAAGGUUGUUUAGUGUAUAUAUAUACUUUUUUCUGUUGA